rnacentral:lncRNA from 1 species
CACAGGAGUCCCAGAGUAAAGUUACAUACCUAUUUCUCUUCCUUAUUUUUAUUUUUUUGGCAUGUUCAUACUAUUUUAUUACCAACAUCGUUGGCAUCCCUGAGUAUGAGAGUUCAGAAGAAACUUAGAGGCUAUUGUCUGAUUCAAUCCUUGCAGCUUACAAAAAGAAAUGUGGGGAGCAGUCACUGUGUGACUAGCCUAGGUCACUCAGGAAGUUAGAGGCAGAACUGCAGCCAGGGUCACCUCUCUUUACUGCUACUAGUGUGCUCUUUCUACUGCACCCUGAUCAUAAAACAUCUCCCAACCCAGGAACAAGGUCUACCGCAUAGGUGGGCACAGCAGCGUGAUCACUCUCUCAGUCAUCUGUACUCCUCCUUUGCUUUGACCAAAGACACAGGAAGGGACCUUUUGCCCCACAUAAAACACCUCUCAGAGGCUUUGCAACAACAACAGAUAAUAGAGAGCAUUGACCUAAGACCAACAUUUCAACCAUGGUGUCAAAACAAUAUUUUAUUUCAGCAAAGAAAAACUAUGUCACAAGUGGAUUAUUAUUACUAAUAAUCAGACUAGUGGUACUUGUGAAUGACUUGGUUUCAUACUCACACUUGGACAACUAUGCACACUGAGUAUAACUGACCUUAUGAGAACAUCAUUCUCACUAAGAUUAUGAUGUGCUUUCUCACGUGGGAACUGUACAUAAUAUUGCGUGUACACUUGGGAGGAAGUCCUGCCUGUGGUGUUGUCUUUCAGGGGAAGAAGAAUGGUUGACAAGUGAGGGUAUAUUAAACAUUUACUCCUCCAGAUUUUUCAAGAUUUCUGUUAAGCCAGAUCAGAAGAAAGCCAUCUAUUUGGAUUGCAUCACUCUAACCUGGUAAGUCGAAUUGUCUACACAGAAUUAUAAUUUCACGAUAUGUCCAGAUUACUUACCGAGAGCCAAUUUGAGACACCAACAGGACUAGUAAAACAUCUUUGCACUGUGGGUAGCGUUGCUAUCAAAGACCUUAUACAUUAUGUCAUUCAAGAACCUUUAUAUUAAGAUCCUUAUGGAAAAUCCUUCC